rnacentral:rRNA from 1 species
CGAGGAAAAGAAACCAACAGGGAUUGCCUCAGUAACGGCGAGUGAAGCGGCAACAGCUCAAAUUUGAAAUCUGGCCCUUUCAGGGUCCGAGUUGUAAUUUGCAGAGGGUGCUUUGGCGUCGGCCGUGGUCUAAGUUCCUUGGAACAGGACGUCACAGAGGGUGAGAAUCCCGUACGUGGCCGCCGGUCUUCGCCGUGUAAAGCCCCUUCGACGAGUCGAGUUGUUUGGGAAUGCAGCUCUAAAUGGGAGAUACAUUUCUUCUAAAGCUAAAUAUUGGCCAGAGACCGAUAGCGCACAAGUAGAGUGAUCGAAAGAUGAAAAGCACUUUGGAAAGAGAGUCAAAAAGCACGUGAAAUUGUUGAAAGGGAAGCGCUUGCAGCCAGACGUGCCCGCAGUUGCUCACCCAGGCUCUUGCCUGGGGCACUCUUCUGCGGGCAGGCCAGCAUCAGUUCGGGCGGUUGGAUAAAGGUCUCUAUCACGUACCACCCUUCGGGGUGUCCUUAUAGGGGAGACGCAACACGGCCAGCCUGAACUGAGGACCGCGCAUCAGCUAGGAUGCUGGCGUAAUGGCUGUAAGCGGCCCGUCUUGAAACACGGACCAAGGAGUCUAACAUCUAUGCGAGUGUUUGGGUGUAAAGCCCGGGCGCGCAAUGAAAGUGAACGGAGGUGGGAACCCUUUGGGUGCACCAUCGACCGAUCCUGAAGUCUUCGGAUGGAUUUGAGUAAGAGCAUAGCUGUUGGGACCCGAAAGAUGGUGAACUAUGCCUGAAUAGGGUGAAGCCAGGGGAAACCCUGGUGGAGGCUCGCAGCGGUUCUGACGUGCAAAUCGAUCGUCAAAUUUGGGCAUAGGGGCGAAAGACUAAUCGA